rnacentral:tRNA from 1 species
UUAUUUUGGCAGAUUAGUGUAAUAGAUUUAGAAUCUAUAAAUGUGAUAUUAUAUCAUGAAUAAUAC